rnacentral:rRNA from 1 species
CAGCAGCCGCGGUAAUUCGUAGGGUGCGAGCGUUAAUCGGAUUUACUGGGCGUAAAGCGUGCGCAGGCGGCCCGUUAAGACAGGUGUGAAAUCCCUGGGCUCAACCUAGGAAUUGCGCUUGUGACUGGCGGGCUCGAGUACGGUAGAGGGGGGUGGAAUUCCUGGUGUAGCAGUGAAAUGCGUAGAGAUCAGGAGGAACACCGAUGGCGAAGGCAGCCCCCUGGGCCUGUACUGACGCUCAUGCACGAAAGCGUGGGGAGCAAACAGGAUUAGAUACCCUGGUAGUCCACGCCCUAAACGAUGGGUACUAGCCGUUUGGUGCGCGAGAGCGCUGAGUGGCGAAGCUAACGCGUGAAGUACCCCGCCUGGGGAGUACGGCCGCAAGGUUGAAACUUAAAGGAAUUGGCGGG